GCCCAGCCGUAAACUUUAACUUACACUCAAAUCGCCAGGGAACUACGAGCUAAGCUUAAAACCCAAAGGACUUGACGGUACCCCAUAUCCCCCUAGAGGAGCCUGUCCUAUAAUCGAUAAUCCACGUUUAACCUCACCAUUUUUUGUUAAUCAGCCUGUAUACCUCCGUCGUCAGCUUACCACGUGAGCGCCAAUUAGUGAGCUUAAUGUCUUUCACCAACACGUCAGGUCAAGGUGCAGCAAAUGAAAUGGGAAGAGAUGGGCUACACUUUCUAUAUUAGAAAAAACGAAAAACUAUUUAUGAAAACUAGUUGGAAGGCGGAUUUAGCAGUAAAAAGGAAUCAGAAUGUCCAUUUUAACCCGGCACUGGGGUGUGU
rnacentral:rRNA from 1 species